GCCCAGAUGGCACAAUGGUAAUGCGCUGGUCUUGAGAACCAGUUUCCGCAAGGAUCUCGAGGUUCGAUUCCUCGUCUGGGCG
rnacentral:tRNA from 1 species